CUCCAAGUUUACAGCAAUCACAUGUGGGACUAAUAGAAGGAAAAAUGAUGGCGUUUUUGUUGCUGAAGACAGCAAAAUGUCUGCAUUUGUUGACACUUUACAGAAGGCAGUGAAAAAUGCAAGUUUAGGUGAUUUUGUUUUUCAUUUUGGUUAAUUUGACAUAAUAGUUUUUACUAUAGUAACCAAACGACUGUCUUCUGCAAGAUGACUACUGUUAAAUUAGAGUAAAUGGAAAAUCUUGUCAUUUACUUUAUAAUUUCUUGCUAUUUUAUUAUAUUUGUUACAUGUCGUAGACACGGGGAAGAGGCACAUGUGGGGAUUCCCAGUGGACAGCAGCACGAGAGACUUCAAGGAAGGCCUCCAAACUGGAUGAAGAGGAGAUGGAGGUCGCUGUGUGUCGACAUGGAUUGUGUCUUUUGUGUCACUUUCACUUCAGGGACGGCAAACUGUGGCGUGUUUCAGGAACGGUUACAUGCCCGACAACUACACUUCUGAACAGAGCUGGGAUGCUCGUCUCCUCAUGGAGCGCUCUCGAGCUGUGAAGUGUCCAGAUAUCAGCGCUCACCUGGCUGGUACCAAGAAGGUUCAGCAAGUGCUCCCCAGACCUGGAGUCCUGGACAGAUUCUUCCCAGACCAGCCUCAAGCUGUGCAGCAGAUCCGAGCGACAUUGGCUGACCUCUACACUCUAGACAUGGGUCCAGAGAGGGACAAAACAGUAUCAGUGGCCUUGUCAGCAGCAGAACGGUUUGUCUUGAAGUCUCAGCGAGAAGGAGGAGGCAGGGUAAAGACAUGGUGAUGAAUGAGUGUGUGGGCCGUCUGCUGAGGACCAAGAGCUCAGGACAGUCAGACGGGGGCGUCGCAGCAGGAGUCACCGUGCUCGACAACCCUCUGCUGUUCUGAGAUGUCACACUCCUGCCUGCACAUACAAACCACAGUGAAGUCAGAGUUCCACCUGCACCUCCACCUGUUCUUGCAACAGCAUGAAAACUGACAGAGGGUGAAGAGCAGUUAGCAGUGCAUUCAUGGACAUCUUUAAACUAUUAAUUGAAGAAUCUUUGGUCAUGAUGGCAUGAACUAGAAACGUGAGCUCCAGGUGAGACUGCACAGAAGAACAAGUGUCCUUAAACUGCAUCAACUGAUGACGUC